UCAGGGAUGGUCCCUCCACUGCCCCCCUCCCCAACCCUUGCUGCUGCCCCCACUGCCCCUACCCUAACACUAGUCCUAACAGCCACCCUCCCUGGCCUAACUCCCCCCACCCUCCUGCCUCUUCCUUCUCCUGUACCUCUUCCUGGGUUUCCACUUCCCAUUUCCAGGAGGAAGAGCAGGAGUCACGUGAAUUGGGCUCUGGCAUGAAGUAGAAAAGUGUUUCAGCCAAACGGAUAUUUAGGUCACUGAAACAGUUCAUCUGAGCCCUACUAUUUCAAACCCUACAGAGAGUAAGGGCUUGGGAAGAAGCAGCACACUUCCGAGAGCCCAAGAGCUGGGUGCUGUGGAGAGAGAGGAGGUGUUUCUGGGAGCUCAGGCCUCCAGGCGUUGAUGUUGUUGGAGACCCUUCAGGGGUCAGCGCCAAGACUGAGAAGGAAGAGACUCCAACUGCGGAAGGAAACCAUGCUGGGGCUCUUGGCCAGCUUACAGGGGAGGGGCCUUCAGGGCUGGCCUCUUCACGUCACUCUUAGCUGCCUGCCCUUUACAACCACUUCAUGUAUCUGCAGACGAGGUGUCAACUGGGAGUUUCCAUGGGAGUUGGGUCAUCUCCAGAGAAUUUAGUGUUUGCUCCCAAGCCAUGCACAAGGCCAGAGACAUCUACUGUUUUCAAGUUUUCAGAAGAAGAGUUGGGUACCUUAGGUUUUGGUGUGGCAUUGCUCUAGUUUGUGAUGAAUGUCAAGCCCAGCACCUGAGCUAGGCUCUUUCUUGUGAAUUUGGACAUGUACUUGGAGUCUCUAGACUGAAAGGUAUUCAUUGUAAUGUGAAAUUAUUGGAGUUAUAACAUCCAAAGUAUCUCUAAACUUGAAAAUAAUACUUGGAACAUUUCCUGUUUUUAUGUUUUCCCAGCGCUAUUUUGGGCCAACAGAGGUAGCAUAAGAAGUGGAAUUACGUAGAGAUUACAUGCAAGUCCUGAAGAAUUUGGGACUCUUUCUAACACUUUAGGACCCAUCUCCCUGCAGUAUUACAAAAGAAAUAUAAACCAAACUCCAAAAGCAAUGAGAGCAAAGUCAUCACCCACCUUGGCAAAACUUCAUUAAAGUUCACUAAUCCGAGAAAGUGCUCAGCCAGAAUUUCCCAUCUCUCUCUCUCCCUUCCCGUUUCCCAAGUCUGUGAGUUCUUUUCCACCCAGGGGAACCUCCCAUUUCUCUCUUUGCCUGCACUAAGCUUUUCAAUUUUUGCAGCUUUACAUAUUAUCACUGAAAGGGAGGAGAAAGAAGAAGGUCUUUCUACAUGGUCUUUCUAUACUUGUCUCUGUCAUAUAGGAAUUAAAUGCACAUGUAACAAUAUCUUCCCAAGAGAGACUGUUUUACUUAAAGAGCUAGCAAUGUAAAUUCUUGACCUUUCAACACAGAGUUCUUCUAAUUUCUCAAGGCAUUUCUCCAUGCUUUUCUAGCAACUAUGUGCAUUGGAAAUCUCCUGCAGAUCCUCUUAAAAUGCAGGUUUGGAUUCAGUAGUUCUGGGGUGGGGCCUGGGAUUCUGCCUUUCUAAUAACCUCCCAGAUGAUGGCCAAUAAUGCUGAUCCUGAGACCUCACUUUGAAUAGCAUGGUUUAGACUACCUCAUUUUUUCUAUCAUGCCGCUGGAAACACUGAAAUAGAGUCAUUACAAUGAUUUUCAUCACUGGAUGUGUCAUUUUAUAAUCAGGCAACCUAAGGAAUCCUAGUCAGCCUGUGAUUUCAUCUCCUCUUACCUUUGAGCUGGAGUUCUCUGGCCAAUGGAUAGUCUGUUGGGGACGGUGCCAUGUGGGACCUUUUCUAAGACAGAGACAUGUGGGCAGAGAGACACUAGUUGGGACAUUUCUACACAAAUCUUUAAUAAAUUGAGAUUCUGGCUCCUGUUUAAAAUAAUGUCCUGAAUGGGUUUCUUAGAAGAUCCAAGGACCCUCGGUUUAGGCCAGUUCUCAGAGGUCACUGGAGCAGCAGGCCAGUCCAGCAUGAAAGGUGUGUCCUGUAGAAAAGGCAAGGAUCUUGGUCCCAUUAGGGGAGCCACUGGACCCAUCUUUCACCUGAAUCUGUCCAGAUCUCAUUAACACAACCUCCCUCAUAGGCACGAACUAAAAGGGAAGUUGGAGGGUUCAGCCUGUGAAGGGGACUGUGGGGCCUGGGGGCUGAGGGCCUGGGACCAGCAGUCUGAUGUCAGUAAAGAACAAGACCUCGGAGUUGUGAUCCAGCUGCUGGCCCAAGAACAUCCAGAAGGGAAAAGCAUUGGCCAGCUGCAUUCUUAACCCGAAAUCAAAGCGCACCGUAGCUAAAGGGACCUCAGAGACCAUCUGGCCCUGAGCCUCCGUUUACAGAUAAAGAAACUCACCUCCAGGAAGUUGGGUGAUUUUUCUCAAAGUCAUAAUAUUAGUUGGGGCUUUUAGCUAUCUUUUGAACUCAUGGUCCUGAGCUCUUUACAGUUGAAUAUGUUUUUUCUCACAUUAAUCAACUCUCACACACAAAAUUAGGUGUACAAGCAUUUGUUCCCAAGAGUGAAUUCAUAUUCUGUUCUGAAACUCUACAGACACACACACAAAAAAAAGUCAGCCAAAGAGGCCAUCACGAUGCCCCCAACUCCCCCAGAGCCCAGCCCUGGGGCAGCCGCAGUUUGAGGCAGACUUGGAUUGUUCACACCAUGUGUCUUUCCAACAGGGAGCUGAUUCCAUACCCAGGAGUAUGUUUAAUUCCCACAACAGGCCAUUAGGUAGGUAAUAUGAAUCCCAUUUUACUAAUGGGAAAACUAAGUCUCCGAUGAAGUCAAUGGCUGUAGGUCAUAUAUCUGUUGACCUUGAACUCAGACCUGGGUCUGCCUUCUCCCAAAUCCUAUGCUUCUUCCACCCUCUGCCUGAACCUUCAUCCACUGUGCCCUCCUUGAGUUGCCAGGAACAUUGUCCAGAGGCUCUGGAAACGGGACUUAUUUUUCAUAAACACUGAGAGGAGGAGUAGCAUCCAGGGGAAACGGGACCUGAAGCUUAGCUGUUGGGAGGACAAAGCAGGACAGUCAACAGAGAAUGUUUGCUUAGUGCCCAACACUCACUGCACAGCUUUUCCUCUCUGCUCUUGUUUCUAUGAAGAGAUCAGAUCAUUCAUGGUACUUUCCAGCAACUGUUUGAGGCUCUUGUUUUGAUGAGCUGGAAUGAUAGCAGUUAUGUGGGUGGUGGGAGCCCCCUUUCUCACUUUUUUUUUGCCUUUCCUGUCCUGACCCCAGAGGCAGUAAGUCACCCAUAAAACAGCCCAAGAGUGUGUCAGGGCUGGGUAAUACCCGGCCUGGUGCCACAUCCCUGUGUGGUGAUACCCAAGGCUUCCUGCCCUUUAAUGACAAAGGCUGAGUGCCUGAGGGGAAAGGCAGUGCUACGGUAACGCUGACAUCUGUACUACCCACUGAUCACCAAACUGGGCUUUUGUUUGUGUCUGCAACAAGAGAGUCAGGUGCAAAAGAUUUCUAGUGGGAAAGAGAUUUUUCUCAAAUUUUUAGUAGGUCAAAAACCAAAUUAGAUGGCCUAGAUCAUUUUCCUCAUAGAUAGAGAAAACCCCCCCUCCUUUGAUGACAGCAAGGCUAUAAUCCUUGGCAGAAAGAUGUGUGAGGUGGAGGAAAUGGAAAGCCCAGAGCCUGUCCCUUCUAGAACUGAGGGGUUGCAGGAGGAAGGGAAGGAGAUAAAGGAGGACAAACUCUGGGGCUUUGGUUUAUCCCUACUCUCCAAGACCAGCUCUUUUUUUUCUUUUUAAAGGCUGAACCUGUGGUGUAUGGAAGUCCCCAGAUUAGGGGACAUCACAGCCACAGCAACACCAGAUCUGAGCUGCGUCUUUGACCAACACCACAGCUCACGGCAACGCAGGAUCCUUAACCACUGAGUGAGGCCAGGGAUCAAACCAGCAUCCUUAUGGAUGCUAGUCAGGUUUGUAACCGGCUGAGUCACGACAGCAACUCUUCUCAGGACCAAAACUGGAAGAGAAGGGUGGCUGGAACCUCGGGGUUGGAAAUCCAUGUCUUUGGGCAGAGGAAGGGGAAUUUUCAGGUCCUUGGGGAACAUCAACCUUCAAAAAUGGUAAAGAGUAAUGGCAAGUGGGUGACAGAUAAACCCAAGGCAGGGCUUCCGGAGUGCAUACUAGAGUGGCAUAUUGGAGUGCAGCAGUCCUAGGUGCCACCAGAAGGGAGCACAGCCAUGCUAAGAAUGCCAUUCCACCAACAAAGGAUCUGAGAUCACUUCACAAAAGCCUUGGUGAUACUAGACAUCAAGCAGCAUAGCACCCUAAAGGGUCAGAGGAGGCCAGUAGCCCCUCCAAAGGACCAAUGCAGGAGGUAGCCCAACCCGGCCACUUUGUUGCACAGACUAGGGUGUAAUAGUGGACCCAGAAUGGAUCUAAUCAUCCACUCUGCCAGGAGGCUGCAAGAGACACCCUCUCCUCCUUAACCAGGUGUAUACCCAUUCAUGCCUUGUCGUCCUGGCAUGAUUAUUAAUGGUGUUCCCCUUCUCUUGCAGGCAUGCGCUGAAUUGAUCUGGCAUGUGUGGUUAUGAAAUUAUAUAGAAUAAGGUGCAUAUUGUGAUUCUGUGUACUAAUUAGGAAAGAAAAUCACCUGUACGUCUCAGGUUUCUCUGUGUUUGUACAUCAGCAGAGAACAGGUUUGAAAAGGCACUGCUAACAGUGGCUCCCUGAGAAGUGGGUGGGGAUAUAGAAAGUGUUGCGUUAUUUUAUACACAGGCUAUUGCACCUGGUAUGUGUGUCUUUUUAAAGGGUCCCAUUUGGAGGAUGAGUUAUAAUGGUCCCUCCACUCAGAAUGCAGGCAUUGAAGAGUCUGGGAAGACAGUAGAAACUGCAAGCUGGAGCAUUUCUAUCAAAGCAUUUUUCUCAAACUGGGAUGGUUUAUGUUAUUGCAAACAGACCAAACUCCACCAGAUCAUUCUAAGCAGAGUGUGGUUUGUUUUCCUAUUACCUAGUGGGGGUGGGCUCAGAGGAAAACCAGAGGAGGCAGAGAAAAACAGCGUGAACAUAUUCUCUGCCCAUCUGAGUACAGGAUGAGUUGUUUUGUGACUGUGCUGGAGCUGCAUCUGACUACCAGUUUUGAAGGACUGAUUACUCAUUUCUUCCAGUUGACAGAAAUGAUACUAUCCUUUGGUGAGAACAUGACCUACAUUAUUUCUCACUUUAAAGUUUGGCUUUUGGUCCACACUCAAUCCCAUAACCACUGCCAGAUCCCAGCCAAAGAAAAUGCAAGAGCCUGUCACUGUCACGCGGCUGCAGAUGGGCUACAGAGGUGGCCAUGGUGCCCAUAGCCUUUGAAAGGUCAGAUGGGGCUGGGCACCCACUUCCAGUCUAGAGAUGCCUCUCCACGGACCCUGGUGGUUGGGUAGAUGUUAGCUCUCGCCAUGUGCGCCAUGACAAGAUAAAGGUUGGGAAGAGCCCCUGAGCAUUCUUUCACAGCAAGUGAGGUCUUGUGAAGGGUGACAGUGUCAGUAGAUGCAUUGUUGGCAAAUGGAAGGACACUGUGAUAAAAGUUGCCCUACCAAUGGCUUAUACUUACGAUUUUAAAUGGAAAGGAAGUAGAUCAUGAUUUUAAGUUGGAAAGCAAUAUUGGGUCUUUUCAGCAACUUAAAUUGUCUUAUUCAUAUUUUUGUUUUAUCUGAUGGAAUUCCCAUUGUGGUGCAGUGGGUUAAUCAUCUGGCUUGUCUCCAGGAGGCGCCAGUUUGAUACCCAGCCUCGUGCAGUGGUUAAAGAUCUGGCAUUGCCGCAGCUGUGGCUUAGGUCACGGCUCUGGCUCUGAUUCGAUCCCUGGCCCAGAAACUUC
rnacentral:lncRNA from 1 species